GGGGGGAUCCUUAGCUCUAUUUCUCUUCCAAGUACUUGGCUAAGACUCAAUGACAGGAAAACUCCUAUACGGGUGGCCUUGGGAUGAAUGGACGCUUGGAAUCACACGCCACUGCCCCUUGAGUCUUUGUGAGCUGCUCACCUGGCGCCAGAGAACUGGCAGAUAAGUUUCUGGAGCUUUGCUCACUACCAAGAGCGGGGGCUACUCGUCACGGUCGGGGUGAGGGGCGUACACAAAGCUAGAGACUGCAGAGCAACCCAAGUUACUAACUGGCAGGUGCACCCAUGACUGUCCUUCCAGAGGCCCCAAGCACAGCUUCAAUCAACGACAAGAAAGGGCCUGGAGCCCCCUCCCGGGUGUCUCCGCGCCCCACCUUCGCCCGAGACUCGACUGAGGAUCCCCGCAGAGUCCGGCGCUGGGGUGAGAGUUGGCAAGGUGUCGCGCCCCCCACACCAGGGUCAACUCACAUGUCUCUGACAGGAAGAGGAGAGGUCCGUCUCCUCUCCCGAGGCUGCGGCGAGACACCCGGCCGGGGAACACUGCGGUGAAACCGACCGCACCGCCGAGCUCCGCUUCCAGACGGCCACUCUGAGCUCUAGCUGCGGUGGAACUGACUGCACCUGCAGCCCCGGCUCGUCUUUAUUAGCGCUGGCCGCGCCCCCAGAUCACGCUGACAACGCUGCGGCCCAAUCCACGCCCAGGACAGGUGCCAGUCCCGAAGCGAAGCCCGGAUAAGGCCUAGAGUGCCCGCCCCUGAAAAUCUGCCAGUCACAGCUCUCUUCUCAUCCUGACUCGGAUAAUUUAUCAUCAAAGCUGUGACUUUUCUGCCCGAAUGCCUUGUUGGUCCGAAAAACAAAAUAGCAAGAAUUUAAAAUGGUUCCAGGUUGACAGUGCCACCAAGCACCAGCUGAAACAAUGCAGAUCAUCUCUGGAUGAGCUGAUCUUCAAUCUAGGCCUUGGGGAAUUUCCACAGAUACGGUUCCAAGAAAAGUAGAUUUUGGUCAAAAAUGGGAAACAAAUAAGGAGCAAAGAGCCAGGAGCAAGAGCCAGCAAAGAUGGAAAUAGGAAGUAAGAAAAUUAGAAAAUCAAGCCAAAUAGCUCAAUCUCUGAUUAAUAGGAGUUCUAAAAAGAGAGAAAGGUAUGAGAGAACAAGAUUACAGAAGAAAUACAAGAAAAAAUUUCUGAACUGAACAAGUCUUUCUGGAUUACAUAGUACACUAUGUGCCUAGCAUAGUGAAAGAAAAAGAACCACGUCAAGACACAUCUUUGUAAAAUCUCAGAAUAUUAGGGGAAAAGAGAAGAUCCAAAAAGAUUUCAAAAAGAGAGAAAGGGACUUCCCUGGUGGAUCCCUGGUCAGGAACUAAGAUCCUGCGUGCCACAUGACAUGGCCCCCCAAAAAAGAGAGAGAGAGAGAGAGAGAAAGGAACAGGAAUGAGAAUGGCAACUCAAUACAGUAUUAAAAGAUAGAUGAUGUGACAGUGCCUUUAAAAUUCUGAAGAAACAUGAUCAUUACCUAGAAUUCUAUACCAGCCAAACGAAUAUAAGACCAAUACGUACCAAUAUAAGAUAAAUAUAGACAUCUUUCAGAUAUGCAAGGAGUGAACAUUUUUACUUCUCUUUCCAAGUAGGCUACUAUAAGAUGUGCUCUGGUAAGCAGGAAAGAGAAAGGCAGCAGAGCUAGGGAAUGGAAUGCUGGAUCCACACACAAAACUGGUGGAGGAAAUCUUUGGAAUGAAAGCUACACCACAGACCCAGAAACAACCUGUCCUGCCUGAAGUAGGAGAAGGAGGAAACUGCAGGACAGUCUCCAGAGGGGGGGAAAAAAACCUGUAAAGCAUCUGACAUGUUUAAAUAUUUGAAAAAGAAUAUGAACAAGUACUUUACAAGUCUGCUGCGACGUGCGGAAAAAAUUAGAGCUAGAUACAUAGAAAAUUAUAUUUUGAAAAAGAGGUAAUUAUAAACUUAGGGGAAAACAAAAAGUUGAAUAAGAACUAGAAAUUAUCUCACCUUUACGUUAAUUGAUUUUCAACAAAAGUGUCAAGACGGGACUUCCCUGGUGGCGCGGUGGUUCAGAAUCCGCCUGCCAAUGCAGGGGACAGGGGUUUGAGACCUGG